rnacentral:rRNA from 1 species
UACGUAGGGGGCGAGCGUUGUCCGGAUUUAUUGGGCGUAAAGAGCGUGUAGGCGGUUCGGUAAGUCUGUCGUGAAAUCCUGAGGCUCAACCCUCGGGCGUGCGAUGGAUACUGCCGGGCUAGAGGAUGGUAGAGGCGAGUGGAAUUCCCGGUGUAGCGGUGAAAUGCGCAGAUAUCGGGAGGAACACCAGUAGCGAAGGCGGCUCGCUGGGCCAUCCUGA